AGUUAAGUCAGAUGUAGAACGGCCCGGGCUACAACCGUACGGUAAUUGCUAUUUAGAACGUGGACAACUAGAGUACUGUAGGAGGGGGUAGAAUUUCAGGUGUAGCGGUAGAAAUGCGUAGAGAUCUGAAGGAAUACCGGUGGCGAAGGCCGGCCCCCUGGACAGAUACUGACACUCAGAUGACGAAAGCGUGGGGAGCAAACAGGAUUAGAUACCCUGGUAG
rnacentral:rRNA from 1 species